rnacentral:rRNA from 1 species
UACAGAGGGUGCGAGCGUUAAUCGGAAUUACUGGGCGUAAAGGGCGCGUAGGCGGUUUAGUAAGAUAGCUGUGAAAUCCCUGGGCUUAACCUAGGAACAGCAGGUAUGACUGCUAAGCUUGAGUAAGGUAGAGGGUAGUGGAAUUUCCGGUGUAGCGGUGAAAUGCGUAGAGAUCGGAAGGAACACCAGUGGCGAAGGCGACUACCUGGACUUAUACUGACGCUGAGGCGCGAGAGCGUGGGGAGCAAACAGG